rnacentral:rRNA from 1 species
UACAGAGGUCUCAAGCGUUGUUCGGAAUUAUUGGGCGUAAAGCGUGCGUAGGCGGUUCUAUAAGUCUGGUGUUAAAGCUAGAGGCUCAACCUCUGUGUUGCACUGGAAACUGUAGGACUUGAGUGCGGUAGGGGAGACUGGAAUUCCUGGUGUAGCGGUGAAAUGCGCAGAUAUCAGGAGGAACACCGGUGGCGAAGGCGGGUCUCUGGGCCGAAAUUGACGCUGAGGAGCGAAAGCGUGGGGAGCGAACAGG